UAGUCCACGCCGUAAACGAUGGAUACUAGGUGUCCGGGAAGUUAACCUCCUGGGUACUACAGCUAACGCGUUAAGUAUCCCGCCUGGGGAGUACGGUCGCAAGGCUAAAACUCAAAGGAAUUGACGGGGGCCCGCACAGGCGGUGGAGUAUGUGGUUUAAUUCGAAGCAACGCGCAGAACCUUACCUACCCUUAACAUUUCACGCUCGCCUCAGAGAUGAGGUUUUCUCUUCGGAGACGUGAGGAUAGGUGCUGCAUGGCUGUCGUCAGCUCGUGUCGUAAGAUGUCUGGUUAAGUCCAAUAACGAGCGCAACCCUUAUCCUUAGUUACCAGCAUUGAGUUGGGGACUCUAGGGAGACUGCCGGUGUUAAACCGGAGGAAGGCGGGGAUGACGUCAAAUCAUCACGGCCCUUACGUCCAGGGCUACACACGUGCUACAAUGGUCGGUACAAAGGGCAGCUACCAGGUGACUGGAUGCUAAUCCCUAAAGCCGAUCUCAGUUCGGAUUGAAGUCUGCAACUCGACUCC
rnacentral:rRNA from 1 species